CAUAGCUUACCGUGACGGCGAAAGUGACAGUGAAUCAUCCGACGACGAUUUAUACAGCAGUUCUGCAAGUUCAGACAUUAACGUUAAUAAUUCUUUGGAUUCUUUUUCAUCUGAUACGGAUGAGGAUGAUGAUCCGAACUCCCAGAUCUCCUUAGAGAGACUUUCUCUAGUCAGAUCAGCGAUUCUGAGGGUCCCGGUUUUUUGUCCAGCGAAUUGCAUCCUGUCUCGAUCGCACCGUUCUCAGAAGAAACAGGUCCAAGUCACGAUUUGAUGCCAAUAUUUUGAGCUACUUCUUUCUGAUGGUAUCAGAGGAUUUCUUUGAGAAAGUUCCCAAUGAAACCAACAGGUACGCUGCUCAGAAAUUCGAGAAAAGAGGUCACCGUGACGCGGAUUGGUUUGACACUUCUCCUCAGGAAAUCAAGGCGCAUUUUUGCCUGCACAUCCUUAUGGGCACACACCAGCUUCUAAGUGUAGAUAUGCACUGAUCACAAAACAAGUUCUUAGGAUUUAAAGACACUGAGUAGGAGCCGUUUCCGGAGAUUGACCGAGUAUCUACGCUUGAAUGACAAUACAACUCAAGGCCCUGUGGGAUCUACUGAGUAUGACUGUACCCUGUGUGUGUUACAGUGU